GUGGAGAAGGAGUGGUUGGGUGGGUCACCUCCCUCAUACCAAAAGACCAUAUAGUGCAAGGGCAUUGUGCGAUGUGAAGGAUGAUAUGCAGAGUUUCAAUUGAGUCCUGGAUGAUUCGGAGGAGGUUUGAGGACUCAAUUGAACCAGCUAGUAAGAGAGAACUAUGUCACACAUCAGGAUCACAAGAAUCAGACUGUGUGGAUGGCUUUUUGGGAUUAGGAUCCGUUGUGACGUGAGUAUUAACAGGAUGGCCUAGUAGUUGUGUUUUGAGGACAAAAAGAGUCACGAUU
rnacentral:lncRNA from 1 species